CACCUGUGAUGACUAGCCAUGCUAAUACCGAGCCGCCGAGCGGAGCCUUUGGCUCUGAACCCGGGCGUCCAUGAGUUAAGUUUGCUUCUCAAAGGAAGGCCUGAGGUGU
ensembl:snoRNA